rfam:Bombyx mori DNA, contig: Bm_scaf187_contig41268, strain: p50T/Dazao, build 2, whole genome shotgun sequence.
UUAACUCAAAUUUGUAUGGAGUUGAAACGGCUUCCUUUCGUUUACCGCUAGGGACGCUGUUCCAACUCCAUACAAAUUUGAGUUA